rnacentral:rRNA from 1 species
UACGGAGGGUGGCGAGCGUUGUCCGGAAUCAUUGGGCGUAAAGGGCGCGUAGGUGGCUUCUUAAGCGUGCGGUGAAAGCCUGGGGCUCAACCCCGGGUCGGCCGUGCGAACUGGGGGGCUGGAGCACUGUAGAGGCAGGCGGAAUUCCGGGUGAUGAGCGGUGGAAUGCGUAGAGAUCCGGAAGAACACCGAGGCGGAGGAGGCGACUGGCCUGGGUUGUU